AUUCCAAUUCGGAAUUUCUUUGAAUCGGCAUCAUAGUCGUCUCUAGGUAAUCCGGAGGGAGCCAUGCUGUCCGAGCCGUCAUUUCAACAACUCAAGCCUCGCUUGGGUAUUGGGCAAACGCGGUCCCGCCGCGUGCCUCAAAUCGACCGGGCUGGGGUCUUUCUGUCCCUAAGCGUUGUGGAAACUAUUUCGCUAAAGGGUGUUCGGGAGGCUACGCCGUAAAACAACCCCAUUUCUAAGGUUGACCUCGGAUCAGGUAGGGAUACCCGCUGAACUUAAGCAUAUCAAUAAGCGGAGGAAAAGAAACCAACAGGGAUUGCUCUAGUAACGGCGAGUGAAGCAGCAAUAGCUCAAAUUUGAAAUCUGGCGUCUUCGACGUCCGAGUUGUAAUUUGUAGAGGAUGCUUCUGAGUAACCACCGACCUAAGUUCCUUGGAACAGGACGUCAUAGAGGGUGAGAAUCCCGUAUGCGGUCGGAAAGGUGCUCUAUACGUAGCUCCUUCGACGAGUCGAGUUGUUUGGGAAUGCAGCUCUAAAUGGGAGGUAAAUUUCUUCUAAAGCUAAAUAUUGGCCAGAGACCGAUAGCGCACAAGUAGAGUGAUCGAAAGAUGAAAAGCACUUUGGAAAGAGAGUUAAAAAGCACGUGAAAUUGUUAAAAGGGAAGGGAUUGCAACCAGACUUGCUCGCGGUGUUCCGCCGGUCUUCUGACCGGUCUACUCGCCGCGUUGCAGGCCAGCAUCGUCUGGUGCCGCUGGAUAAGACUGGAGGAAUGUAGCUCCCUCGGGAGUGUUAUAGCCUCUUGUGAUGCAGCGAGCGCCGGGCGAGGUCCGCGCUUCGGCUAGGAUGCUGGCGUAAUGGUCGUAAUCCGCCCGUCUUGAAACACGGACCAAGGAGUCUAACAUCUAUGCGAGUGUUCGGGUGUCAAACCCCUACGCGUAAUGAAAGUGAACGGAGGUGAGAACCGCAAGGUGCAUCAUCGACCGAUCCUGAUGUCUUCGGAUGGAUUUGAGUAAGAGCAUAGCUGUUGGGACCCGAAAGAUGGUGAACUAUGCCUGAAUAGGGUGAAGCCAGAGGAAACUCUGGUGGAGGCUCGCAGCGGUUCUGACGUGCAAAUCGAUCGUCAAAUUUGGGUAUAGGGGCGAAAGACUAAUCGAACCAUCUAGUAGCUGGUUCCUGCCGAAGU
rnacentral:rRNA from 1 species